rnacentral:rRNA from 1 species
UACGAAGGUGGCAAGCGUUACUCGGAAUUACUAGGCGUAAAGGGCAGGUAGGUGGUCUGAUUAGUCUGUUGUGGAAGCUCCCGGCUUAACUGGGAGAGGUCAACAGAUACUAUCAGGCUUGAGUAUAGGAGAGGUUACUGGAAUUCCCGGUGUAGCGGUGAAAUGCGCAGAUAUCGGGAGGAACACCAAUGGCGAAAGCAGGUAACUGGACUAUUACUGACACUCAUCUGCGAAAGCUAGGGGAGCAAACAGG